AGCGUAGACGGAUGGGCAAGUCUGAUGUGAAAGGCUGGGGCUCAACCCCGGGACUGCAUUGGAAACUGCCCGUCUUGAGUGCCGGAGAGGUAAGCGGAAUUCCUAGUGUAGCGGUGAAAUGCGUAGAUAUUAGGAGGAACACCAGUGGCGAAGGCGGCUUACUGGACGGUAACUGACGUUGAGGCUCGAAAGCGUGGGGAAGCAAACA
rnacentral:rRNA from 1 species